GUGCUCAUUUUGGCAGCACAUAUACAAAAAUUGUAACGAUAUAGAAAAUAUUAGUGUGGCCCCUGCCCAAGGAUAACAUGCAAAUUAGUGAAGCAUUCCGUAUUAAA